CGGGGAUGCCUUAGUACGGCGAGUGAGCGGCAAAGCUCAAAUUUGAAAUCUGGUACCUUCGGUGCCCGAGUUGUAAUUUGGAGAGGGCAACUUUGGGGCCGUUCCUUGUCUAUGUUCCUUGGAACAGGACGUCAUAGAGGGUGAGAAUCCCGUGUGGCGAGGAGUGCGGUUCUUUGUAAAGUGCCUUCGAAGAGUCGAGUUGUUUGGGAAUGCAGCUCUAAGUGGGUGGUAAAUUCCAUCUAAAGCUAAAUAUUGGCGAGAGACCGAUAGCGAACAAGUACAGUGAUGGAAAGAUGAAAAGAACUUUGAAAAGAGAGUGAAAAAGUACGUGAAAUUGUUGAAAGGGAAGGGCAUUUGAUCAGACAUGGUGUUUUGUGCCCUCUGCUCCUUGUGGGUAGGGGAAUCUCGCAUUUCACUGGGCCAGCAUCAGUUUUGGUGGCAGGAUAAAUCCAUAGGAAUGUAGCUUGCCUCGGUAAGUAUUAUAGCCUGUGGGAAUACUGCCAGCUGGGACUGAGGACUGCGACGUAAGUCAAGGAUGCUGGCAUAAUGGUUAUAUGCCGCCCGUCUUGAA
rnacentral:rRNA from 1 species